rnacentral:rRNA from 1 species
GAUGAACGCUAGCUACAGGCUUAACACAUGCAAGUCGAGGGGCAGCGCAGUGUAGCAAUACAUGGGCGGCGACCGGCGCACGGGUGCGUAACGCGUAUCCAACCUUCCCGUUACUCAGGGAUAGCCUUCCGAAAGGGAGAUUAAUACCUGAUGGUGUUCAAAUUCCGCAUGUUAUUUGAACUAAAGAUUUAUCGGUAGCGGAUGGGGAUGCGUGACAUUAGAUAGUAGGCGGGGUAACGGCCCACCUAGUCUACGAUGUCUAGGGGUUCUGAGAGGAAGGUCCCCCCACACUGGAACUGAGACACGGUCCAGACUCCUACGGGAGGCAGCAGUGAGGAAUAUUGGUCAAUGGUCGGAAGACUGAACCAGCCAAGUAGCGUGAAGGAUG